CCUACGGGAGGCAGCAGUGGGGAAUAUUGCACAAUGGGCGAAAGCCUGAUGCAGCGACGCCGCGUGAGGGAUGACGGCCUUCGGGUUGUAAACCUCUUUCAGUAGGGAAGAAGCGAAAGUGACGGUACCUGCAGAAGAAGCGCCGGCUAACUACGUGCCAGCAGCCGCGGUAAU
rnacentral:rRNA from 3 species